rnacentral:rRNA from 1 species
UCGGAAUCGCUAGUAAUCGCGGAUCAGCAUGCCGCGGUGAAUACGUUCCCGGGCCUUGUACACACCGCCCGUCACACCAUGAGAGUCGGGAACACCCGAAGUCCGUAGCCUAACCGCAAGGGGGCGCGGCCGAAGGUGGGUUCGAUAAUUGGGGUGAAGUCGUAACAAGGUAGC